CUAUGAGCCUCCUGGGAUCCAUGUCCUCCACUAUAGGACUAACAAGAUGGGCCCAAUGGAAGAUGAGACCGUUCCAAACAAAUUUCCUUUAUCAAUUCAAAAGGGGAAAUCUGUCGCAACCUAUCAAAAUCCCUCCUCAAGUACAGAAAUUCUCGAGGUGCUGGACACAAGAAAAGUUUCUCUUCAAAGGUUUUCCCCUAGGAAAUAUCCCUUGGACCAUUAUUACCA